UACGGAGGGUGCAAGCGUUGCUCGGAAGUACUGGGCGUAAAGCGCGUGUAGGCGGUCUCGUGUGUCUGGCGUGAAAGCCCCGGGCUCACCCCGGGAAGUGCGUUGGAAACUGCGAGACUAGAGUUCCGGAGAGGAAGGUGGAAGUCCAGGUGUAGCGGUGAAAUGCGUAGAUAUCUGGAAGAACACCGGUGGCGCAGGCGGCCUUCUGGACGGUGACUGACGCUGAGACGCGAAAGCGUGGGGAGCAAACAGG
rnacentral:rRNA from 1 species